UACGGGGGGGGCAAGCGUUGUUCGGAAUUACUGGGCGUAAAGGGUUCGUAGGUGGCCAACUAAGUCAUACGUGAAAUCCCUCAGCUUAACUGGGGAACUGCGUCUGAUACUGGUUGGCUUGAGUGCAGGAGAGGAACGCGGAAUUCCAGGUGUAGCGGUGAAAUGCGUAGAUAUCUGGAGGAACACCGGUGGCGAAGGCGGCGUCCUGGACCAACACUGACACUGAGGAGCGAAAGCCAGGGGAGCAAACGGG
rnacentral:rRNA from 1 species